rnacentral:rRNA from 1 species
UACGUAGGGUGCAAGCGUUAAUCGGAAUUACUGGGCGUAAAGCGUGCGCAGGCGGCUAUGCAAGACAGAUGUGAAAUCCCCGGGCUCAACCUGGGAACUGCAUUUGUGACUGCAUGGCUCGAGUGCGGCAGAGGGGGAUGGAAUUCCGCGUGUAGCAGUGAAAUGCGUAGAUAUGCGGAGGAACACCGAUGGCGAAGGCAAUCCCCUGGGCCUGCACUGACGCUCAUGCACGAAAGCGUGGGGAGCAAACAGG